rnacentral:rRNA from 1 species
AAACCGUUCAGGGGUAAACCCGAGGAACCCAAAAGAUCGAAGGGGGAGAUUCAUCGUCAGCGGUGCAGGCUUCGCGAUGGCGUGCGAUGUCGCGGACUACGGUCCGACGGCACGCGGUCGUCGUGUAUUGUCCGGUAACGUCGACGUGCACUUCUCCCCUUGUAGAACGUCGCGACCCGUUGGGUGUCGUUCUAAGGCACGGUGGGAAGCCUGUCUCGUCGCUUCGGCGUUUCGAGGCAGACCCCCGUUCGCCAGUUAACGGCUGCCCGGCGGUACACGCACGGUAUCGAGCCGCAAUUUGAUUGCGUCGGACCCGCCGCAAGCGCGGCCAGCGUUUAAAUCGGGAUCGCGGACCUAGCGCCGUCCCCGGACCUGGCCAGCUGUUGGUUGGCGGUGUUCUCCGACUGGCCGAAUCACUCGAUAAAAUACCGGUCGGCGACGCUACUGCUUUGGGUAAUCUCAGGAC